rnacentral:rRNA from 1 species
AUGGCUGGAGGAGGAGCAACUCUGGAUACUUCACGCUGGAUAGUGGCUAUAAAAACUGAUAUACACAAGGCCCCGCUGGAACAUGAAAUUGAGUCUAAAGAUGUGCAGGUAAAUGAUGUAUUUGUAACUCGUCGUUCGCUGUCUUUUGAUGUUACGGGGGAUAACUCUGCUCAGGUUGUGGAGGUGGACGAUGAUGUGUAUCCAGAUCUGAAGACCUCAAGUGACUAUAUGGUACAACUUCCUCUUUCUGAUCACAACGAUGAGAUCAUUCUCACACCUCCCCUUGCACCUGAAGUGAAACUAAGAUUCAGCAAGCGCAAUGCGCAGGGGGGACAGGAGCACAUGGAGGCCAAAGCCAUUAAUCUGGCUCAAAAGAAGAACCUGGAAGGUAACAUCAAUCUCCCCUGCAAUAAUUCUUUCGAUGCUCUUUCAGAUAAAGAAUUAAUGUAUAGAGCCACUUGUAUGGGGGUCAAAAUACCUGAUAAUGAUUUUGCUUGUGUGAAUGUUCUUAGAGAGCUUGAUAGGGUGAAAGAAAAUCUAGAUAGUAAAAAGAACAUUGGGGACAGUAAUACUGAUAUUGAGGAUGAUAUUUUAGUCACCAAUGGGCUAGGAAAAUCUAUUCCUGUUAAUUUGACUUGGCUUGACCAAGAUGAGUCUGUCUUUGAACAAAAGUUUAUGGUAAACAGAAGAAUAGCAGAUCAAGAAAGAAAUCUGCCGUUAAGCUCUCUAGGCCUGUGA